UCCCUCUUAGCUCAGUGGUAGAGCGCGUCACUAGUAGACUCAUUACGUAAUACACAUUACGUAAUCACCUCUAUGACGAGGUCAGUCCGUUCAAGUCGGCUAGGGGGAA